CAGUCGCCACGGGAAUACAGAGGGUGCGAGCGUUAAUCGGAUUUACUGGGCGUAAAGCGUGCGUAGGCGGCUAAUUGAGUCGGAUGUGAAAUCCCCGAGCUUAACUUGGGAAUUGCAUUCGAUACUGGUUAGCUAGAGUGUGGGAGAGGAUGGUAGAAUUCCAGGUGUAGCGGUGAAAUGCGUAGAGAUCUGGAGGAAUACCGAUGGCGAAGGCAGCCAUCUGGCCUAAUACUGACGCUGAGGUACGAAAGCAUGGGGAGCAAACAGGAUUAGAUACCCCCGUAGUCCCUGUCUCUUAUAC
rnacentral:rRNA from 1 species